rnacentral:lncRNA from 1 species
AUUUGCUUUUAUUUGGGUUAUUUUGCCGAUCUGAUUAAUCGGAUCGUCGUGGAUUCGCCGGCGUAUCUUUGCGAGGCCGUUUGAUUGUGAUUCGGGUUUGGUUUUCUGUUGGUGAUUUUGAUCCGGCAUGGUACUAGGGUUUGCUAAUCGGCUGAUUCUUCGGCGAAGGUAUGUUAUAUGACAAUUUGUUGUUCUGUUCUUUUGGCUGAUUCUAAGCAGUGUCUGGUAAACCUUCUCUCUGUUCUGCUGAGUAAAAUGUUUUAAUGUAUCUUUUAAAUCACUAUUUGGUACUUUUUGUUUAUGGUUUUAGGAAAGGUUUCAUCUUUAUUUUAUGGAGCUAAGCUAAUUGUGCAACUACAACGAUUGAUCUGAUUUUACUAGAGCUUAUGCACACCUGGAUUAUGUGGAUAGGAUCGCCAAUUGCUUAAGCUAGAGAUCUCGGUUGGAUCUGACGACAGGAAGAUAAUUUAUUUUGUGAUAUGAUAAUUAGCUUAUCGAUUUUUCUUUUGUUUCUGAUUCUGUAAUAUGUUGAUAUAUUCUUAUACAAUCAUAAUCCUUCUCAUUCAAUUUUCAGAUUUCUUGUUUAUAUGAC